GGGGGCGACAUGGUUUCGACGGGGCUCUGGUCUGAGUCAAGGUAGCGAGCCGAGAUCCCAACCGCUCUCGUAAAACAGGUUGGAAAACAACAACUGCCGAUACCGAAUUGGCACUGGCCGCUUAGCUUUAACUAGCUAAAGCGCCUGUCGCUCCUCCCGAGCCCGCCGGGGAGUGAAGCGGCAUCAUGCAGGCGGGCUCACCCUCGGCGAGUGCCGGCGGCGCCAGAGGGGACACUCAGGCGGCUGGCCGAGCAUACCCUGCUCCUACGGGGAUGUAAGGCGAGAAACGAAUAGUAGGGGCUAUGCUCGUAGAAGCCUUUUCCAGACGAGUUUCGGACGGGGGUUCGAUUCCCCCCGCCUCCACCA
rnacentral:tmRNA from 1 species